UUGUCUCAAAGAUUAAGCCAUGCAUGUCUCAGUACAAGCCGCAUUAAGGUGAAACCGCGAAAGGCUCAUUAAAUCAGUUAUGGUUCCUUAGAUCGUACCCACAUUUACUUGGAUAACUGUGGUAAUUCUAGAGCUAAUACAUGCAAACAGAGCUCCGACCGGAGACGGAAGGAGUGCUUUUAUUAGAUCAAAACCAAUCGGCGGCGGUCGCGUUCGCGCGUCCGUUCGCCGCUCAACCUGGUGACUCUGAAUAACUUUCUGCUGAUCGCACGGUCUCGCACCGGCGACGCAUCUUUCAAAUGUCUGCCUUAUCAACUGUCGAUGGUAGGUUCUGCGCCUACCAUGGUCGUAACGGGUAACGGGGAAUCAGGGUUCGAUUCCGGAGAGGGAGCCUGAGAAACGGCUACCACAUCCAAGGAAGGCAGCAGGCGCGCAAAUUACCCACUCCCGGCACGGGGAGGUAGUGACGAAAAAUAACGAUACGGGACUCAUCCGAGGCCCCGUAAUCGGAAUGAGUACACUUUAAAUCCUUUAACGAGGAUCAAUUGGAGGGCAAGUCUGGUGCCAGCAGCCGCGGUAAUUCCAGUUCCAAUAGCGUA
rnacentral:rRNA from 1 species